GCGGACGUGGAGAAAUCGGUAAACUCAGCAGACUUAAAAUCUGCCGCUCUUAGAGCUUGCGGGUUCAAGUCCCGCCGUCCGCA
rnacentral:tRNA from 1 species